GUCCUCGUAGUUCAACGGAUAGAACGGAGGUUUCCUAAACCUUAAAUUUCAGUUCGAUUCUGAACGGGGACACAA
rnacentral:tRNA from 5 species